AGCUUGCUCCCUGAUGUUAGCGGCGGACGGGUGAGUAACACGUGGGUAACCUGCCUGUAAGACUGGGAUAACUCCGGGAAACCGGGGCUAAUACCGGAUGGUUGUUUGAACCGCAUGGUUCAAACAUAAAAGGUGGCUUCGGCUACCACUUACAGAUGGACCCGCGGCGCAUUAGCUAGUUGGUGAGGUAACGGCUCACCAAGGCAACGAUGCGUAGCCGACCUGAGAGGGUGAUCGGCCACACUGGGACUGAGACACGGCCCAGACUCCUACGGGAGGCAGCAGUAGGGAAUCUUCCGCAAUGGACGAAAGUCUGACGGAGCAACGCCGCGUGAGUGAUGAAGGUUUUCGGAUCGUAAAGCUCUGUUGUUAGGGAAGAACAAGUACCGUUCGAAUAGGGCGGUACCUUGACGGUACCUAACCAGAAAGCCACGGCUAACUACGUGCCAGCAGCCGCGGUAAUACGUAGGUGGCAAGCGUUGUCCGGA
rnacentral:rRNA from 1 species